AUGCAGUCGAACGCAGUAGCAAUACUGAGUGGCAGACGGGUGAGUAACAUGUGGGAAUCUGCCUUGUGGUUCAGGACAACAUUGGGAAACCGAUGCUAAUACUGGAUAAGCCCUUACGGGGAAAGUUUUAAUGCCAUAAGAUGAGCCCGCAUUUGAUUAGUUAGUUGGUGAGGUAAUGGCUCACCAAGACAAUGAUCAAUAACUGAUCUGAGAGGAUGAUCGGCCACACUGGGACUGAGACACGGCCCAGACUCCUACGGGAGGCAGCAGUGGGGAAUCUUGCACAAUGGAGGAAACUCUGAUGCAGCGAUGCCGCGUGAGUGAAGAAGGCCUUUGGGUUGUAAAGCUCUUUUGUAGGGGAAGAUAAUGACUGUACCCUAAGAAUAAGGUCCGGCUAACUUCGUGCCAGCAGCCGCGGUAAUACGAAGGGACCUAGCGUAGUUCGGAAUUACUGGGCGUAAAGCGCGCGUAGGCCGUUGAGUUAGUUAAUUGUGAAAUCCCAAAGCUUAACUUUGGAACUGCAAUUAAAACUGCUCGACUAGAGUUUGAUAGAGGAAAGCGGAAUACAUAGUGUAGAGGUGAAAUUCGUAGAUAUUAUGUAGAACACCAGUUGCGAAGGCGGCUUUCUGGAUCAACACUGACGCUGAGGCGCGAAAGUAUGGGUAGCAAAGAGGAUUAGAUACCCUCGUAGUCCAUACCAUAAACGAUGAUUGCUAGAUGUUGGAAAUUUAUUUUCAGUAUCGCAGCUAACGCAUUAAGCAAUCCGCCUGGGGAGUACGACCGCAAGGUUAAAACUCAAAUGAAUUGACGGGGACCCGCACAAGCGGUGGAGCAUGUGGUUUAAUUCGAAGAUACGCGCAGAACCUUACCAACCCUUGACAUGUCUGUCGCGAGUUUAGGAAACUAGACUUUUCGGUUCGGCCGGACAGAACACAGGUGCUGCAUGGCUGU
rnacentral:rRNA from 1 species